rfam:Coniochaeta ligniaria NRRL 30616 unplaced genomic scaffold CONLIGscaffold_5, whole genome shotgun sequence.
GGCGGAAUGGCCGAGUGGUCUAAGGCGAGUGACUUAAGAUUUUUAUCAUACUUCACUUUCUCGAAAGAGAGCGUGGGUUCGAACCCCACUUCCGUCA